AAUCAACGCUGGCGGCGUGCCUCAGACAUGCAAGUCGAACGCGAAAGUUCCCUUCGGGGGAUAAGUAGAGUGGCGUCCGGGUGAGUAACACGUAGGUAAUCUACCUUUGGGUGGGGAAUAACAACCGGAAACGGUUGCUAAUACCGCAUAAUGCAGCGGCACCACAUGGUGACAGUUGUUAAAGCGGGGGAUCGCAAGACCUCGCGCCUAAAGAGGAGCCUGCGGCGGAUUAGCUAGNGGUAGGGUAACGGCCUACCAAGGCAACGAUCCGUAGCCGGCCUGAGAGGGCGGUCGGCCACACUGACACUGAAAUACGGGUCAGACUCCUACGGGAGGCAGCAGUCGGGAAUUUUGGGCAAUGGGCGAAAGCCUGACCCAGCAACGCCGCGUGAAGGAUGAAAUCCCUCGGGAUGUAAACUUCGCAAGAACAGGAAGAAUAAGUAGGGGACAAUACCCCCUAUGAUGACGGUACUGUUUGUAAGCUCCGGCUAACUCCGUGCCAGCCGCCGCCGUAAC
rnacentral:rRNA from 1 species